rnacentral:rRNA from 1 species
UAAUACGGGGGAUGCAAGCGUUAUUCGGAAUUAUUGGGCGUAAAGGGCGCGUAGGCGGUUUUGUCGGUCAGAUGUGAAAGCCCGGGGCUCAACCCCGGACGUGCAUUUGAAACAGCAAGACUUGAGUACGGGAGAGGAAAGCGGAAUUCCUGGUGUAGAGGUGAAAUUCGUAGAUAUCAGGAGGAACACCGAUGGCGAAGGCAGCUUUCUGGACCGAUACUGACGCUGAGGCGCGAAGGCGUGGGUAGCGAACAGGAUUAGAUACCCUGGUAGUCCACGCAGUAAACGAUGUACACUCGGUGUAGCGGAUAUUAAAAUCUGCUGCGCCCAAGCUAACGCAUUAAGUGUACCGCCUGGGGAGUACGGUCGCAAGACUAAAACUUAAAUGAAUUGACGG